AGAGUGAACGCUGGCGGCAGGCCUAACACAUGCAAGUCGAACGGCAGCACAAGGGAGCUUGCUCCCUGGGUGGCGAGUGGCGGACGGGUGAGGAAUACGUCGGAAUCUGCCUAUUUGUGGGGGAUAACGUAGGGAAACUUACGCUAAUACCGCAUACGACCCCAUGCCGAGAGGCGCGGGGUGAAAGCGGAGGACCUUCGGGCUUCGCGCAGAUAGAUGAGCCGCGUCGGAUUAGCUAGUUGGUGAGGUAACGGCUCACCAAGGCUACGAUCCGUAGCUGGUCUGAGAGGAUGAUCAGCCACACGUGGGACUGAAGACCACGGCCCAGACCUCCGUACGGGAGGCAGCGAGGUGGGAAUAGUUGGACAAGUGGCG
rnacentral:rRNA from 1 species